CUUAAAGGCACAUCGAGCCCUGCAGUCAGUGGGACCCAGCAGGGGAAAAACUGCUUAAAAGGGGAGAAGAAAAAAAAAAAAGGAGGAAAGAAAGAAAAAAAAAAUGGGGGGGGGGGGGGGGAAGCAUGAGGAAAAGCGGUAAGGAUAGGGCUUGGCUGAUUAGCUUAUUAGGAGAGCUGGAGCUUUGCUGGACACGGUUUAUCCACCAGCAUCAGGCCUCCGUCCCUGCUUCUCCCGAAAUACUGUUCUGCAGAGGAGAAAAAAGGAGCGGGGGAAAUAAGGGGAAAAAAAUAAGAAGCUGGAGCCCAAGGAAUCACUGUGCAAUUUAUUCCAAGGGGUGGCUGUUGAGAAGGCGGCAAUUUGUGGAGGCCGGGGGUUAUUUAGUGCGAUAUGAAAUCAAAUGAUCCUAUUGCUCAAAUAACAGUGUCUGGGAGGAGAAGCGAGCGCUCCAAAGGUAAUUGUCUCCAGAUGAUAUUCCUAUUAUCCCCCAAUCCCGGCCUAAACGCUGCCAGCGCCGGACUGGAAUCGAUACGGGGGAAGGACCGGGGAGAUCCCGGGUCCGGGGAGAGGCAUUCCCGGCACUGACUCCCCUCGGGAAGAGCGGCAGGGCUUCAGGAAGACCCUAAAUUCCUGUGGCUGCGGCUUGUCCGUGCCUCGGCGGGAGCGGCACCACCGGCGGGGGAGCCGAGCCCGGAGCCCAGCAGCAGCAGUAGCAAGAACUGAGCUCAAGCAGGAUGGAGUGGCCUGGCCAAGCCGUGACCCCACUGGCAGGAGCUGUAGAGUGGACAGCAGAGGGAACAGCUUGGUUGUGAAGGUGCUGUUCUCCUGAAAGAGGAUCCUGUCAAAAACAUGGCUUGGUGCAUGGGGUGGCACGCCGAAGGCAAGACAGCAGCAGACACUUGAAUGGAGACUCCUCGUGUUUACAGCCUGGUCACAUGAGUGACUGAGACCCGAAAUCUCCCUGACAUCCUCUCUGGAUGCUUGGCCUUGGAACAGUCUCAUUCGUGCCACACCUGCUCCCUUCUGCUCAUGGAGCCUUCUAUUCUGCACAGGACACUGGAAAAGCACUUGGAGAGGCUGGAGAAGGAAGCGGGCUUCCUGGAAAAUGCUCUCUAAACAAGGCCCUUCCCUGUGCCAUGGCUUUUCUGGGGCUCAUUAAUAUCAGUGGUUCCUGCUGGAGGAAUUCUCCUCACCUUCCCCAAGGCAGCAGAUCUGAGGCCAGACGUGAUGUGCACUGCUUGUGCAUCAGACACGAGUAAUAACAAGUUUUGAGGAACUGUACCACUUAAUAAAAGCAUUUUACUACAUUUAAAUGUAUUAAAA
rnacentral:lncRNA from 1 species